UUCCUUUAAUCGUCAACCCGGAGCCCCACGGCGGCUAAUGCAAGAGGCCAAAAAAUGUUUGGAAGAAGAAAAACAAAGACAGGAAGUGGCGGCCGCCUGAUGGUGCGUGUGUGUCUGUAAAGAAGGGAGGGGAGCCGGUUCAAUCUCCUCUUGUUUUUCAGAAUUUCAAGGUCUAGGCAG
rnacentral:lncRNA from 1 species